rnacentral:rRNA from 1 species
GAUGAACGCUGGCGGCGUGCCUAAUACAUGCAAGUCGAGCGAACGGACGAGAAGCUUGCUUCUCUGAUGUUAGCGGCGGACGGGUGAGUAACACGUGUAUAACCUACCUAUAAGACUGGGAUAACUUCGGGAAACCGGAGCUAAUACCGGAUAAUAUUUUGAACCGCAUGGUUCAAAAGUGAAAGACGGUCUUGCUGUCACUUAUAGAUGGAUCCGCGCUGCAUUAGCUAGUUGGUAAGGUAACGGCUUACCACGGCAACGAUGCAUAGCCGACCUGAGAGGCUGGUCGGCCACACUAGAGCUGGGACACGGUCCAGACUCCUACGGGAGGCAGCAGUAGGGAAUCUUCCGCAAUGGGCGAAAGCCUGACGGAGCAACGCCGCGUGAGUGAUGAAGGUCUUCGGAUCGUAAAACUCUGUUAUUAGGGAAGAACAGAUGUGUAAGUAACUGUGCACAUCUUGACGGUACCUAAUCAGAAAGCCACGGCUAACUACGUG